rnacentral:rRNA from 1 species
GGUGCUUCUUCUUCGGAAGAUGUAACCCGGCGGACGGCUCAUUAACACGUGGAUAACUUGCCCUUGGGUCCGGGAUAACCCCUGAGAAAUUGGGGACAAUACCGGAUAGGGCAUCGAUUGCUGGAAUGCGCGAUGUCCAAAAGCUGAGGCGCCCAAGGAUAGGUCUGCGGCCGAUUAGGUUGUUGUUGAUGUAAUGGAUCAACAAGCCUGCAAUCGGUACGGGUUGUGAGAGCAAGAGCCCGGAGAUGGGUUCUGAGAAAAGAACCCAGGUCCUACGGGACGCAUCAGGCGCGAAAACUUUACAAUGUGCGAAAGCACGAUAAGGGAACUCUGAGUGCCUCCUAUGGAGGCUGUUCAGGUGUCUAAAAAGCACUUGAAGUAAGGGCUGGGUAAGACCGGUGCCAGCCGCCGCGGUAACACCGGCAGCCCAAGUGGUAGCCACCGAUUAUUGGGUCUAAAGCGUCCGUAACCGGCCAGGUAAGUUCUUUGGGAAAUUUAACCCGCUCAACGGUUAAACUUUCAGGGGAAUACUGCUUGGCUUGGGACCGGGAGAGGUCAAAAGUACUUCAAGGGUAGGGGGUGAAAUCCGUUAAUCCUUGAGGGACCACCAGUAGCGAAGGCGUCUGACCAGACC